rnacentral:rRNA from 1 species
AAAGAGACCCUUUUAGAGGCUACAUACCUACCGCGUUGUUAGAUAGCUAGUUUUCUGACACCUCUAUUUAAGUAAAAGAAAUAAUUAUUAAUUAUUAUCCCCCCUAUUAAGGAAUAAGCCUUAAUAUUUAACCUAAUAUUUACAAACGUUUAACUCAACUAGUAGGAUUAAUAGCAUCCACCAAUAUUAUAGUGUUUUAACAAACCAACCUCCUUAAACCAAAUUUAUUCAUUAAAAUAGGUCCUUUAUCAGAAUAAUUUUAAUAACUUAUUGUAAAAUUUACCUAUGCUAGGAUAAGUAUUUCUGAAAAUCCCACAUAUUAAACCAUGAUAUUACCGCAACACUACCCGCCCUAUAAAAGUAAAAAAGGAACUCGGCAAAUACCUGCCUCGACUGUUUACCAAAAACAUUGCCCUUAGAAAAUCAAAUUAAGGGUUAGUCCUGCCCAGUGACAUACGUGUUCAACGGCCGCGGUACCCUGACCGUGCAAAGGUAGCAUAAUCACUCGCCUUUUAAUUGGAGGCUAGCAUGAAUGGAUAAACGAGGGCAAAGCUGUCUCUUUUACCCCCUUAAAAAUUAGCCCUCAGGUGAAGAUACCUGGAUAAAAAUGAAAGACAAGAAGACCCUGUUGAGCUUUACUCUACCUGCUUUAAAUUAAUAAUAGUUUUAAAAUUAAUUCUUAGUACCCGAGUUCUGUUGGGGCGACAAAGGAAUAUACCAAUCUUCCUUCAAUUAAUAGAUAACCAAUCCCUCUUUUGACCCUCCCUAGAUCAAAGAAAUCAGCUACCACAGGGAUAACAGGCUAAUUCUUCUUGAGAGCCCACAUUAACAGAAGAGUUUGGCACCUCGAUGUUGGCUUGGGGGUACCUAUAUGGUGCAGCAGCC